rnacentral:sRNA from 1 species
AGGAUGGAGGCAGGGUGCUCUGGUUUAAGGCCGAGCUAGCGAUUCCCCUGAUGCAACCUGUCAGGUUCACUAUCUUUAAAAUGGGAAGAGGAACAAUCUCUCUUUUCCUUUAAGGAUGUGAUAGGAUCAGAUAAAGGGCUUCGGAAUAAGGGAGUUCUGUGAGUGCACAGGCUCAUUCACUAUCAUUCUCCUCCUCUGUUAGGGAGGAGAAUGGUGGCUGGAGUCCCCAGCAAUGAGGACGAAGAGCAGUGUGGGAAUGGCUAGACCUGUUUUUGUUUGUUUGUUUGUUUUUAAUAGAAUAGUAAACUCGGAGCUGCAUAGAACCUUAUUCAGUGCCUCCUUUUACAGAUGAGGGUUGAAACUCGGAGAAGUGAAGGUCAGUGAAGUUUAACAAGGGCUAUACUGCUCUUAGCCAGAGUCCAGAUGAAAACCUGGUGUCCCUCGACUCUGACAGUGAUGGGGAGCUGGAAUCCAGAUACUCCUCCGGGUAUUCAUCUGCAGAGCAGGUGAACCAGGAUGUGAGCCGGCAGCUGCUUCAGGAUGGGUAUCACCUGGAUGAGAUUCCAGAUGACGAGGACUUGGACCU